UGUCCGCGUAGCUCAAUUGGAUAGAGCGUUGGCCUCCGAAGCCAAAGGUUACUGGUUCAAGUCCAGCCGCGGAUAA
rnacentral:tRNA from 1 species